CGAAACGAAAGCCCUAUUCGCAGGUCUGUUGUGGAAGAUCUGGAAAACCAGAAACUCGGUGGUCUUCAAAGGAUGUGUACCGGAUCCGAAAACCAUCAAAGAAGAUGCAGAAAUCGAAGCUGCCCUGUACAUAAAACAGUCAGCAAAGGGUUUUAACAAAAGCGGAGAAGCAAGUCAGAACCCUACAAGAACGCCGAUUUGGAACCCACCUGCUCGAAGUACGCUGAAUAUAAACGUGGAUAGUUCAUGGAGCGAGUCGUUGAGAGCAGGAUCGGUAGCCGGAGUGUGCAGGAACGCCAAUGGGACUCUCAUUGCUGGGUUCACAAAAUCAGUUCACGCAACAUCAGCU
rnacentral:lncRNA from 1 species